GCCGCGGUAGCGCAGUGGUUAGCACUUGCCCUUGAACCCGAAAGGGUGUGACACGGGUUCAACUCCCGUACAAGGUU